rnacentral:lncRNA from 7 species
GAAAUUUGCCCCCUAGGUCAAGCAAUCAAGCCUCGCAGUGAUUUAGACGCACUUCAGUUUGUUAUUCGCCUUUUCACCACAUCAAAGUAGCCUACCGGCCUAAGAAAAAAUGGAACAAGGCUUCAACUUGAAUCCUCUUCUCUAGGAAGUUCAAAAUUAAUACAGUCCUAUCUUCUAUUAUGAAAGUGCAAGCAUUCAACUCUUGCCAAGUCCAGUGAAAAGUUGAACUAUUUUAAAGUCACCUGCAUUGCAGAUCCUAAGUACUAGCCGUGGUCCUUCCUCUUGGGUUGCAUUUCUUCCGGUCGCUUUACUUGGAAUGGCUGCGCAGUAUUGUGAGAAAUAAGGAUACAACAUUCAUGCAUGCCCAAGUCUAUACCAAUCAUAUUCAGAACUGAGCUAAAGCAGACCAGAAAACAGUCAAUGGAGUAAAAUGUGAUGUUCCCAUGCCAUUUGUCGUUGCAAGAACUGAAAACUGAAAGGUGCAUGCCGCCUUGAAAGAACAACACUUCUCUGAACCAUCAACAUAUGCUUCUUCCUCUGUACUGCUGUGAAUGUGAUGUGGCUAGAUAAAAUUAUGGCUGCUUGACUUCCAUAUCAAAUUGUGGCAAUAUUUCCUGUACACUAGCAUUUGUUUCCGCUGACCUAAUACUAAGAUUCAAGAGUUAUAGGUGACCUGCUGCUAAGUGUUUUCUUUUCCCUUUCUUUGGAAAAUUGAGGCUUUGGAAAAUUAAUGCUAAGUGUGACUAGAUUCUAUGCCACAAAGGAGUAAUAAAUUGCAUGCGCUCAGUUGCUGCUAAGUGUUUUAUUUUCCCUUGCUUUGGAAAAUUGAGGCAUUUUCGGACUGAUAUUUUGUAGACUGAUAAUUUCCAUACACUUAUGCUAUUACUGUUCUAAUUUGGAAAAUUAUCAAACUGAUAAUUUUACAGAAAUUGCUGACUCGGAAUUUAGGCACUAUACUAAUAAUUUGUAGACUAAUAAUUUUAAAGAGCAGUAAUAAA